UAACAAAUUCGUGUCAGAACUUAUUACAAACACUAUAUUCACAGAAUUAUUCAAAAAAUCCUGCUUCAGAUACGCGAAUAAAACGGAGGAUCAUGUGAUAUACAGUUCUUCAUGUCAAGCACAUCGGAUAAAUCCGGCGGCGAUCUUUUCCUAAGUAGGGGCAGCAAUUUGAAAAACGAUUUCUCCGCGACUAUAUACGAGAAUAUAAUCUAGAAAAAUGCAUGUAGUGGCUUUCCGCUUUUGCUAAGACCUCGUAACACGGGGUGCGUGAAAUUGCGCUCAAGCAACGUGCACCAGCAUCCGAUCAUCGUUCCUAAUUAUUUCCAGGAUCCACAUGACCUUUUGAUAGAAGGUGCAAACUUCAUAUACAAUCUCAGCCAGACACCAACUUUGAAAAGCCUGAACGUCAGUGCGAAUCUAAAUCGAACCCCAGAAUGGCUCGUCUUUCAAGUUUCCAUCGGACGAUUACUGGAGAUGCCACGCAAGAUUCUACACAGCAACGAUCUAUCAUCUGUGUGGGACUUGCAAGAUGGACCCAGCGACUGACAAGAUGGCCGUUGUGGAUCACAGACUUAAAGUACACGGAAUUAAGGGACUGCGAGUGGUUGACGCGUCGAUUAUACCGAAUAUUACCUCUGGAAACACGAAUGCGCCGGUUAUUAUGAUUGCCGAGAAAGCUGCAGACAUGAUCAAGGAGGAGUGGAAAUCGUAGAUAUAGACUAUCGAUUGAGUUUGACCGUUUGGUAUUGUCGAAAUGGAAAAUGUUGUCGUUAUAGAUGCUAGAGAAAUUUUCGUUUCUCGAAGAAAUGUUCUAUACUGUUUUCAUAUAGCUCAAGAGAUAGAAUAAUAUCAUGUUUUAAUAUUUAAAAAAGACCUACAAUUGUAACAGCGUCAAGCCCGUCCGCAUCUUCUGAGAGAUACCUCCCGUCUUGUUCGGAAUGGUUCGUCCCUAACCCGAACCAUCCUACUGAAACCCCACCGGUAUUCCUAGAACCGUCGCGACUCCACGAUUGCACCGUUAGUUUUAAGCCGAUUCGUCCGCCAUUAAUUAGUUAAAUAUAAGGAAAUGUAAUCUUAUUCAUAACGUAAUGUAAUAUUAUUCAACCACGUCUUACUUAUUUGAGGCUCCACUAAGAGUCCGUGGAUCGCCGUUUGAAUCGACAGGGUCCAGCGCAAAGUUAGAUAUUUUUUCAUUGUAUGAAUUUCAUUGUAAUAAAUAUUAUGAUUAUAUGGGUGAUAGUAUUACAUUAUAUUAAUAUUUCAAGAUAAUGAUUUGUUUAUAGAGACUUUUUAUUUGCAAAUUACCCCAUCUUAUUUCAAUAAUGGAGAAGUCGAUGUAUUGUAAGUAGGUGCUCAAUGGACCUCUAACUUCGAGACAAUAAAACGGUCUAGAACAUAUCUAGACAAUAAAAACAGUAAGAAAUUAAA